GAUGAACGCUGGCGGCGUGCCUAAUACAUGCAAGUCGAGCGAACGGACGAGAAGCUUGCUUCUCUGAUGUUAGCGGCGGACGGGUGAGUAACACGUGGAUAACCUACCUAUAAGACUGGGAUAACUUCGGGAAACCGUAGCUAAUACCGGAUAAUAUUUUGAACCGCAUGGUUCAAAAGUGAAAGACGGUCUUGCUGUCACUUAUAGAUGGAUCCGCGCUGCAUUAGCUAGUUGGUAAGGUAACGGCUUACCAAGGCAACGAUGCAUAGCCGACCUGAGAGGGUGAUCGGCCACACUGGAACUGAGACACGGUCCAGACUCCUACGGGAGGCAGCAGUAGGGAAUCUUCCGCAAUGGGCGAAAGCCUGACGGAGCCACGCCGCGUGAGUGAUGAAGGUCUUCGGAUCGUAAAACUCUGUUAUUAGGGAAGAACAUAAGUGUAAGUAACUGUGCACAUCUUGACGGUACCUAAUCAGAAAGCCACGGCUAACUACGUG
rnacentral:rRNA from 1 species